rnacentral:snRNA from 1 species
GUGCUCACUUUGGCAGCACAGAUACUAAAAUUGGAACAAUGCAGAGAAGAUCAGCAUGGCCCCUGUGUAAGGAUGACAGGUGAAUUUGUGAAGCGUUCCAUACCUAA